rnacentral:lncRNA from 1 species
ACAACCAUAAAAGGCCCUCCAUUUAUUGCAUUCGCCAAAAAAAAAAAAAAAGUGAUAUUCGUAUGGGAGGCUGAGCUGGAGGCUAAUAAUGAAGGAGUCAGUAAAGGAGGCCAGUGCCGUGAGGGUUAUCUCGCGGCCCCAGAUGCUGGAUAAGUUGAAGAAGGCAGAAUCGCUUUGGAUGACAUUCAGGUCUGAAUGAUGAUUUGGAGAAGAAAAGACUAUUCUUUCCAAGACUCUCAACAAAACCUGAGAAGAGUUGUUCCAGUUAAGUGGAUUAUGUAUUCAUAUAAAGAUGAAUGGACAACCUACUGUUAUCUCCAAGUGUGAGAGUCACAUGCAGAAGUGCUCAAGGAUGCAGUCCAAUAUCUUAACUGUUGAACCGUUUUGCCUUUUCAUCUGUGAAGUUCGUUUACAGCCAUUAUAACAAGAACAUAAUGGCCUCUUGCAACUAGAUCACCAUCAAAAUCACUUCUGGACCUUGUGGCAGAAAGUCACCUAUAUAUCCAUUUACUAAUGUAUGACAGUUAUGGAUUGGAUCCUCUGGUUAAUUACAUGCACAGCUGAAAAUGUGCAGCUAGGAGUAGAGAAUCAGGGAUUAAAGCUAUUUUUCUUCUCCACCUAGCAGUUCAACUGGUCACUUAGAAUAGUGGCUACUACUAAUCCAUGUGACAAGUGGCAUGAUUUUGGUGGUCUUUCUCUCCUUGCUUGCCAAAACAUAAAGUUGUGCAUUUGUUUAAGCAUGGAUGAUGUCUAGAAAAUAUGUCAGAAAACAAGAUCUUAGCUUAUUGCAUUAUAAUACAGACUUCCCUCUCUGUCAUACACGUUUACACUUAUGUAUUAAGGAUAGAUCCUUGGUAAGCUAGCAUUUUGUCUCCCCAUUAAAUAAUGUUUCCUAUGAUAAUGUUUUAUUGGGGAGAUUCUAUCCAGAAAAAUCCAUGGUUUUGGGAAAAAAAAAACUAUAGUUAGAGAAUCAAUUGAAUUAGCUUAUAUUUCAAAACUGCACCAGAAGUAUGACCUAAUAACUUUGCAUACGCAUAAAUGUGCAGUGAGGACAACCUGCGAACAGGAAUGAAUGAAAUGUUGUGGUGUCACACACUAGAUUCAACAAGUUGCAAUGA